AUCUAAUUUUCGAGUCCCAAAUAGGACGAAACGCGCGUACCAGAU
rnacentral:hammerhead_ribozyme from 1 species